GAUGAACGCUGGCGGCGUGCCUAAUACAUGCAAGUCGAGCGAACGGACGAGAAGCUUGCUUCUCUGAUGUUAGCGGCGGACGGGUGAGUAACACGUGGAUAACCUACCUAUAAGACUGGGAUAACUUCGGGAAACCGGAGCUAAUACCGGAUAAUAUUUUGAACCGCAUGGUUCAAAAGUGAAAGACGGUCUUGCUGUCACUUAUAGAUGGAUCCGCGCUGCAUUAGCUAGUUGGUAAGGUAACGGCUUACCAAGGCAACGAUGCAUAGCCGACCUGCGAGGGGGAUCGGCCGCACGGGAACUGAGACACGGUCCAGACUCCUACGGGAGGCAGCAGUAGGGAAUCUUACGCAGUGGGCGAAAGCCUGACGGAGCAACGCCGCGUGAGUGAUGAAGGUCUUCGGAGCGUAAAACUCUGUUAUUGGGGAAGAACAUAUGUGUAAGGAACUGUGCACAUCUUGACGGUACCUAAUCAGAAAGCCACGGCUAACUACGUG
rnacentral:rRNA from 1 species